GAUGAAGAACGUAGCGAAAUGCGAUAAGUAAUGUGAAUUGCAGAAUUCAGUGAAUCAUCGAAUCUUUGAACGCACAUUGCGCCCGCCAGUAUUCUGGCUGGCAUGCCUGUCCGAGCGUCAUUUCAACCAUCAAGCCCCCGGGCUUGUGUUGGGGACCUGCGGCUGCCCGCAGGCCCUGAAAACCAGUGGCGGGCUCGCUGUCACACCGAGCGUAGUAGCAAUCACCUCGCUCAGGGCGUGCUGCGGGUUCCGGCCGUUAAACAGCCUUACAAAACCCAAGGUUGACCUCGGAUCAGGUAGGAAGACCCGCUGAACUUAAGCAUAUCAAUAAGCGGAGGA
rnacentral:misc_RNA from 1 species